GCCGGGUGUGGUGAUGCGUGCCUGUAAUCCCAGCUACUCAGGAGGCUGAGACAGAAGAAUUGCUUGAACCCAGGAGGCGGAGGUUGCAGUGAGCCGAGAUUGCACCACUGCACUCUAGCCUGGGUGACAGAGCAAGACACUGUCUUCA
ensembl:misc_RNA Metazoa_SRP Metazoan signal recognition particle RNA